rnacentral:tRNA from 1 species
GGAGAAGCUGUGGGUUAGUGGAAGAGUCUCUGCUUUGCAUACAGAAGGUCCCCAGUUCAAUUCCUGGCUUCUCCA